UUUCCCUUUGUGGAAAUACGAUAAAAUUGGAAUGAUAUAGAGAAGAUUAACAUGCUUUCAACGCUAAGAUAACACACACAAAUCGAGAAAUAGUCCAAAUAUUU